UUUUUUUUUUUUUUUUUUUUUUUUAGAUGGAGUUUCGCUCUUGUUGCCCAGGCUGGAGUGCAGUGGCACAGUCUCAGCUCACUGCAACCUCCGCCUCCUCGGUUCAAGCAAUUCUCCUGUCUCAGCCCGAGAGUAGCUGGGAUUACAGGUGCCCGUCACCAUGCCCGGCUAAUUUUUGUAUUUAUAGUAGAGAUGGGGUUUCACCAUGUUGGCCAGGCUGGUCUCAAACUCCUGACCUUAGGUGAUCCACCUGCCUCGGCCUCCCAAAGUGCUGGGAUUACUGUUGUGAGCCACCGUGCCCAGCCUACUCAAGUGAUUUUUAAACCAAGGUGUGUGUGUGUACAUGGAGGUAUUUGUACACACAUGCACACAUGCGCAUGCACAGUCUCAUCUUAGCCGGGCAUGGUGAUGGCAUCACAUUUAACUCCAAAAAUUUGACGUGCUAUUUUCUUCUAAAACUGUAGAUGCUUUUAUUUUUGGUCACUAUUUAACUUUGUGUAAAGUGGACCAAGCGAAAACCAUAUUGUGGAAGAAAAUUUUUCACAUGUUUUAGUAUCCGUGUUGCACACUGUGUUAGAGAUUAUGAAAAUGAUUCUAGUUCAGUUUAUCACCCAAAGCUAUCACCCAAUACUAAUUCCUUAGUAUUCUUUCAAAUGAAGCAAAUAGAAAGAUUCACAAUAUAGAAUGAGCUAAAAUAUCAAGGAGAAAGUUUCAUUUCCUCUUUAUUCUCACAGCGUCCUUCCUGUUUUAACCUUUUAACUUUGUUUUGAUGGUGCCAAGUUGAGUCUGAUGUACCCAUUGUUAGCUUUGGAUAGAAUUUAAAGUAUAUCCCAAAAUUAGCCGGGCAUGUUGGUGCAUGCCUGUAACCCCAGCUGCUCAGGAGGCAAAGAGAAUCGCUUGAACCCGGGAGGCGGAGGUUGCAAUGAGCUGAGAUUGCACCGUUGCACUUCAGCCUGGGAGACAAGAGCGAAACUCUGUCUCAAAAAAAAAGAAUUUAAAGUAUAUUCUUUGAGGUCAUUUUAUGUAACAAUUAGAUAUAACCUCCUGUGUAUCUCUCUGUUCCUCUUCAAAGUUAUUAAAAUUCAGCUUAGGUCAUGGAUUUUUAAUAUGAGGGGCAGCUGUACUGGUUUCAGGUAGGUGUUUUGAGUGUAGAUAGUUUAGGACUGGAGGGCUGGGUUAAGUUUUAGGAGUGAGAAUGUACUUGAGAAUAUUUUGAAAGGAAUUUAUGAAGUUUGUGAAAUAACUUACAAGUCCUCUUCCUUUGCAAUAUUUGAAUUCCAUUUUUCUACCUUCUCAAAAUAGUCAUUCAUUUUUCCUAGAAUUGCAGGAGGGAGCUCUCUCUUUUAUUAAUGUUGUUUGUUUGCAACUUUGAUGGCUUAUAACAGGAAGUUUUCUAGUUGUAAAGAAAACUCUUUAGAGACUUUUGACUGGUCAGUAUACUAUCAUCUGAGGUGUAAGAUUUGAUUCAUGAUGAAGAAAGCCUAUAGAUUGCCAAAAAAUUAAUGCUCCAAAUCUCCUUUCACUCUCAGAAAAUGAGACCACAAAGGAGUAUGCUAUAAAUCAAAUUUGCCAACCAACUAUGUAGAUAUUACUCAUUCUAGGACUAAUGAUGAUGGUAAAGAAGUUGCCAUUGUUAUGGCAACGAAAAUUUUAAAAGGAAGGAGUCGGUGAUCUUCUAGAUGUAUAUGAACACCUGUCUGUAUCUGCAUGUGUAUGUUUUGACCUGCAGUGGUUGCAGUGUUGAUUAUGUGUUCAAGAUUAUUCCUGUCUACAAAAUUGAAGGCCCUUGUUCAAAUUGUUCUUUAUUGGGUGUUUUUAUGGUCACGUGGUUACAAUUUUCUUACAUAACCUACAAAAGGUUCUCUUGAUGAACAUUUUUAUUUAUAUUUACUAAUUUUUUUAAAAAAGCUUUCAUAGCAUUAUUUAAUCAAAUGAAGAAAGCCCAGUAGAAUUUUAAAAAAAAAUCAUUAUCCUAGCCUAUAUUAUGGUUUCUGUCAAAGGAAAACAAAUUCUCAAAUAGCAGUUCUAAAAAUAGAUUUACCAAAGUAAAAUAAUUACUUAAAAUGUUUUAUUCCAGUUGGAAGGAAGGUACAGGGAGAGAUCGCAAUUAUUUAGGGGAGAAGUAUAUUUAUUAUAAGAUAGUAUACUCAAAUUAGCCUACCAUGGCACGUAGGGGCAGCAGCUAUAUUAGAUUUACUAGAGGUGCUAGGUUAGAACACUAGGUUUUUAUUGAGGCAGGUUUUAAUAUUGAUAGAUGCUUUUUGUUUGGUUUGCUGCUUCUGGGAGAGAGAAUGGAGGACUUAAGUAGUAAGUAGCUACUGAUAACAGACUUUCUAGUAGCAGUUUCCACUCCGCGGUUAACUUUUUAGUUUCAUAGUAUCUUUUCACAAAGUAUUACAAAUAAGCUAGAUUCUCCCAUUUUGGGAAUGCAAGUUUUACUACAUUUUUAGCCUGGCAAUAUUUGUGUAGGUAUUGCCUUAUUGGAAAUUCUGGAAACCUGAUACUGCAACCUGCAAUGUAGGAUGUUUGUAUGGCAUUUAAAGAUAACGGUGAUGUUUAUUAUUCUAUACUUUGCAUUCUGUGAGAGUAAUUUUCACUGUCUUAAAUGUGAGUAAGCCUCUUGUUCUUGUCAAGAAAUUUAUAAAUCACAUACAAAGACAUCUGUUGUUAACAGUUAAUUUUAUGAGGUAACUAUAUCCUUCUAUUUCUCUGGAUUCAUUUUUUAAAAAUAUGCAGAAUACUGCAUACUGUUUAAGAUAGUAUAUACAUUUAUGAGAGAAGUGGAGAGCUUUCUUCCUUGAAAAGUCGGUAUUUGUGGAGAUAUCAUUUGCCUCACAGAGAGAUGUUCCCCACUCCCAUCCCCAUUGCCAGAUAAUAAAUACUUUGAAAAAGUGACCUAAAACAGCUUAAAUCUUAGGUGCAUCUAUCUGCAGACCUCCUUAAGUAGGCUGCGUCUUACAGUUCUCUUACUGCAUUGGGUAAGUGUUAACUUUGUUGUUUGUUCUUUUGCUUUAAAUAUUCUCCAAAUUACCAUUUAUGCAACAAGGUCAGGGUUAAUACUGCAUGGUAUUCAUUUAUCUUGUUUCAUGAACUUUCCAGUACUGUACAAGGUUAACAAAGUAAUGCCUGUGGUAUCCUCAUCUCUCACUUUUUUACACUGUGAUCUUAGCACAGUAAGGUACUGCAAAGACCUUCCUUCCAAAUGUUCUCCCUGACUUUGCUUCUUGGGCCAAUUCAGUAUCCUCAACAUCCUAUGAUUUUGUUGUUUUAUCACUGACCUGUGGUUGGCCUGUUUUAUCCUAAUUUCCAGAAAAAUCAAGUCCUAGUAUUUGCAAUAUCAAAUAACUGUCUAAAACCAAUGUGUGAUUCUACCUUCCUUAUUAUUUUUACUGGGCAAAUGCCCUAUUUUUUUUUUUUUUUUUUUUUUAACUUUUGGGACACACACACAAAUCAGCAAUUCUCAUGAAGCGUUUGUUGGAGUGGCAGACUUGUCUAAUUCCUGAAACUCAUUCAUCCCCUUGAGCCAGCCAAUGGGGAGGAAUAGGAUAAUGCAAACACAUGUUUUGUUUUCUCAUUUUCAAAUAAUUUACCAUGUUAAACUUUUCUUUGUUUUUUAUUUGUAGAGUCAGCUAAGUACCCAUAUUUAAAUGCUGUCUUUAUCAUUUUUUUGAGGUUUUUGUCUGUUUCUUUGUUUUGUUUUUGUAAAUAAGGUAACUGGGCAAUCAAACACCUUUUGGGGAUUCUGGCUUUAGUAUUUUAUCAGCCAUUUCAAAAUUAAAUAUAAAAAUCCUUUGUAAGUAACUUGCAUCCUAAUUUUUCUUUAUUGCAGUUGAAAGUGUAAAUAAUAAGACAAUAUAAGUAAGACCUUCCUAAUGUCUAAUACAAACUGGGCUGUAGCAAGUGGCCCUAUUUUUAUUAGGGUUUUGAAGGUUUUGUGUGUGUGUGUGUGUGUGUGUGUGUGUGUGUGUGUGUGUGUGUGCGUGUGUUUUUCUUUUUUAAAUGUAUAGUAGAGUGGUGUCUGUAUAAGUGUUAACUGUAGUGGGGUUUUGUCCAGCAAGCCUGAAAUUUAUACUUUGAAAUAAAACUACUGGGUUUUUAACAUUCUG
ensembl:lncRNA